AACGCACAUUGCGCCCGCUGGUAUUCCGGCGGGCAUGCCUGUCCGAGCGUGAUAAUCGCCAAUCAAGCUUCGGCUUGGUGCUGGGUCAGGUUCGUUCCGAUUCCCGAGCGCCCCGACCUCCGGUGACCCUGAGAGGGGUUGGUCGUAGGGACGAGGGCUCGAGGGAGGCCCCAAAGCGCUCGUCGGCGAGACGCUGCCGCUGAGGGGCGGACAGUCACCCGAGCGUUGUGAAUUUUACGAUCGCUCCGGUGCUGCUCCGUCCUCCGAGCGAGCAGGCGCGUGUGACACCGCGAAAGUCAGCCGAGUGCUUGGCCGUCGUUGACGUGACGGCCUCUUAUCAAUUGCACCUCGGAUCAGGCAGGGUUACCCGCUGAACUUAA
rnacentral:misc_RNA from 1 species